AAAAGAAAAAAAGAUACUCCUCCGCCGAGGACGACGAGCCCGGUGCCGGCGCCGAGCUGAGCGACUCCGGCGGGUCAUCACUAGAGGAGGCAGGGUCCGACGGCGAAGAGGAUUCUGCUCCCCCGAAUCCGCUUGCGAAGCCCCGCCGCCGAGCAAACCCUAGCUCUGGCGGCGAUGGAGGCGGCGGGGAAUCCUCGGUACCCUCAACCGCAGAGCCGCCGAGCCCGAGGAGGCGCGUGAGGCGCUCGGCGUGAUAGAUCGCCGCUCCAAUGAGGGGAGAAAGCUGCUACCUCCAGCUGGUUACAAAGGCUUAUAGCUAGCUGUUGAAGAUUCCUUUGGGUCCGGGCAUCCACAAUGGUAACAUUUUUAAUUUGCUAGGGGUAAGCAGUGAGUAUGAAAGGACUGGAUUGGCUUAUUAUUUUAUCUAUGCAUUAAUUGUUCAAAAAAAUACCACUUGGUUAGACAGACCUAUAGCUAGCUGUUGAAGAUGCAUUUGGGUCUACACAUCGAUCCACAAUGGUAGCAUUUUUAAUUUACUGGGGGUAAGUGAGGAGACUUGUAUAUGAACUAUGAAAGGAUCGGAUUGGCUUAUUAUUUUAUCUAUGCAUUAAUUAGCUUAAAAUGGUUUGGUAGCACAGAGGACACCACGUGAAUUGCCCCGUUCCACACUCCUCACGAUGUGAAAUCACAACGACAACGUCAAAGUCUUCCCAGCAUCUUUGCUUUUAACACCCACCGUUCGAGUGUCCACAUUGACAGUAUCUUUAUUUUUUUCAUGCCCUACCAACUUCUCAGUUGAUUGGACGAUAUGAGUAUCCAACAUUAUCUUUACUUUUUUUUAGCGGUCAUCAUCUUUGCUUUUUUUCAAGCCCCUCUCGCUUCUUAAUUGAUUGAACGAUCUAAUGAGUAACCACAAAGACAUCAUCUUUGCUUCUUUAUUUUGAGCGGUCAUCAUUUUUUUGUCCAUCACUGCCAGUUCUUAAUUGAUUGAACGAUCUGAUAAGUAUCCACACAAAGACAUUAUCUUUGCUUCUUUUUCUUUGAGCGGUCUCCCUCUUUGCUCUAUUUUUCCAUGCCCUCCCACUUGUUAAUUGAUUGGAUGAUCAGAAUGAGUAUCCACAAAGACAUCAUUUCUUUUCUUUUUUGAGUAGUCAUCAUCUUUGAUUUUUUUUCCCAUACCCCUCCCACUUCUCAAUUGAUUGAACGAUCUGAUGAGUAUCCACAGAGACAUCAUCUUUGUAUUUUUUGAGUGAAUUCCAUUUUUACCCCUUAAUUUUAGUUGUGUGACACAAAUUACCCCGUUUACCAGGAUUUCCUUAAUCUUACCCCAUUUAGUGAAAUCUUUGCCGUCAGCCUCAUGUGGAGUGCCACAUUAAAGACGUAUUCUUCAUGAGCCGGCCGCCGAAGAAAUGGAGACGCCGCCGCCGACGCAGGCACUUCAGGGCUCCAGGGCUCCGUCGUCUCCCACGCCUCGUCCAGGGCUCCAGGCCGGAGGGCAUCAUGACGUGGGCGUGCGAGGAGCUGCUGUUCAGCUGUGUCAGCGGGCUGAGCAGGCUAACUUCAGGCCGGAGGACCAAGAGGUCAUCAUCAGGGAUGCUUCUGCGGGCCAGCGUGGGAGUUCCACCGGGCUAGCUAUGGAUUGGACUGCAAUCCUGCGUGCUAACUUCCGAUCGAUCGAUCGGCCAGCUAUACUGCCCAUGUAUAUAGCUAGCUAGUACUGCCUAUGUUUACUUCAAUUUCUGCACAACAGUCACGUUUCCUGAUUUCAAUAUGGGCAAAAAUUAGAUGGGGUAAAAAGUGUAGAAGUUUCACUAAAUGGGGUAAGAUUAGAGAAAUCCCAUUAAAUGGGGUAAUUUUAUUCACAAAACUGAAAGUUAGGGGUAAAUUUUCUUGGAAUUUACUCCUUUUUUAGCGGUCAUCAUCUUUGUUUUUAGCUGAUAUCCAUAUGAACGUACAGUUGAAGCGUCCUUAUCGAUGGCAACUACUCCCAUGAACGUCAAGUCCGAGCAUAUAUUUCCUUCAAAUUAUUCAAGCAUCCGGUGUCCAGACCAACAGAAUCUUUGCUUUUUCGAUGCCCAUUUCGAGGAGUGGCAUCUUUGCUUUUUCGAUGCCAUUGUGCUGUAAGUUACUUUGGAGCGUCGGCAAUUUAAUUUUCCUCGAGACCCGCACCUCUCAUGAAAGUUAAAACCAUAGUUUUCCAUUACCGUCAUGUUAUAUGAAGACAGAAUGGUACAACCAUUAAAUUGGUUUCGUAAUGCUGUUUUCUUAGGAAUCACAAUAUCAACUAAUUACCGUA